CUGGGAUGUUUAGGUCACAUUGUUUUUCAAAAGUAUUUUUGAAAGAUUUUAUUUAUUUCUUUGAGAGGCAGGGUUACAGUCAGAGAGAGGGAGAGACAAGGAGAAAGGUCUUCCAUCCACUGGUUCACUCCCCAAAAGGCUGCAGCGCUGGAUCUGGGCCGAUCCGAAGCCAGGAGCCAGGAGCUUCCUCCAGGUCUCCCACAUGGGUGCAGGGGCCCAAGGACUUGGGCCAUCCUCUACCGCUUUCCCAGGCCAUAGCAGAGAGCUGGAUCGGAAGUAGAGCAGCCGGGACUCAAACCAGUGCCCAUAUGGGAUGCCAGGCCUGCAGGUAGAGGCUUAACCUAACAUGCCAUAGCACCAGCCCCUUCCCUCAGAUACUGUAAGAAGCACCGUGGUUGCUGGCUCUUAGUCUCCUCGCUGGCACUAAGCUUCAGUGGCCCAAUGUGCCCACUGGCUUGAUAACACACCCUCCCCCACCCCUCCCUUCCACUCCCCCUCCUUCCCUUCGCCUCUCCUUCCCUUCCCAGCCCCUCUACCAGUGUGCUUUUUGCAUUUCCCAAAUAACACUGCUGGCAAUCAUUUCUUUGCUUCCAGUAGAAGCUGGCAACCCGAACUGACACCCUUGUACCUUGUAUAAGGCUUCGCACGCUGCCAUCUGCUGACCGGGCACGUCUCUGGGGAUGGCUCCACUUGGCUCCAGAGAGUUCAGCAGCCUAUUAAGGAUGAUAAAGUUAUCUACCCACCUCGGCCUGUCUUCCUGCUUUCAUGGUCCGAGGUCGUGAGGUCGCUGCCCUCCGCGCCCUUUGCUUCUUCAGCGUCACGAACACCGGCCAGGGAACUGCCAAUCUCCUGGUCCCCAAGAUUCCUAGAGCCCAGGAGCCAAGCCAUCUUGAAAUCUCAUUUUCCUUGUCCUACCUGGCGACCUUUGGCAUUUUGGGGUGCUUGUGCAGGCACUUCCCACCUCCCCAUCUCCCACCAGUCCUCAGUGCCUGGAUUGGAAGUGGAGCAGCUGGGACUUGAACCGGCUCCCAUAUGGGAUGCCAGCAUUGCAGGCAGCGGCUUUACCCGCUACGCCACAGUGCCGGCCCCAGUAAAUCUUUUUUUUUUUUUUUUUUUUUUUGAAAAGCCCACAUUCCCAGGCUACUGGUCAGAUGGCUUGAGUGAGAAGGGCUAUGAGGAAAGACUGCAUAGUACGGCUAUUCGUGUGCCUACUGAGCGUGCAAACAUUGCCGAAUGUCCACAAUCUACUUCUAGAACUGAUUUCCUUGCUUGUUUUUUAUUUUUAUUUUUUUUGCCUCCCCCAUUCCCCCAUAAGGAUCUGGGUGUAGGCAGCCAACAAACGAGCCAUUCAAAUAGGGGGCUCCCGGCCUGGCGCUGUGGCACAGUGGGUUAAUGCCAUGGCCUGAAGCGCCAGCAUCUCAAAUGGGUGCCGGUUCGAGACCCGGCUGCUCCACUUCCGAUCCAGCUCUCUGCUAUAGUCUGGGAAAGCAGUGGAAGAUGGCUCAAGUGCUUGGGCCCCUGCACCCACAUGGGAGACCUGAAAGAAGUUCCUGGCUCCUGGCUUCGGAUUGGCACAGUUCCGGCCGUUGCAGCCAACUGGGAAGUGAACCAGCGGAUGGAAGAUGUCUUUCUCUCUCUCCUCUCUCUCUGUGUAACUCUGACUUUCAAAUAAAUAAAUAAAUAAAUAAAUCUUAAAAAAAAAU
ensembl:lncRNA